GUUCGUAGGUGACUGCGGAGGAUCAUUAGUGAUUGACCUCCGGGUCUUAAUAACUAUAAUCUUCUACCUCUGUGAACCGUUGGUCUUCGGACCGAUUCUUAUAACAAACAUCUGUGUAAUGAACGUAACCUAUAUUAAUCAUAUAAAACUUUUAACAACGGAUCUCUUGGCUCUCGCAUCGAUGAAGAACGCAGCGAAAUGCGAUAAGUAAUGUGAAUUGCAGAAUUCAGUGAAUCAUCGAAUCUUUGAACGCACCUUGCGCCUUUUGGUAUUCCGAAAGGCAUGCCUGUUUGAGUGUCAUGAAAUAUCAACCCCUCCUGGUUUCUGAUCAGUGUUGGGCUUGGACUUGGGUGUCUGCCAGCUCGCUGGCUCGCCUUAAAAGAGUUAGUGGUAAUAACAUCCACGGCUAAGACGUAAUAAGUUUCGUCUGGUCAAGGUGUGACGACUGCUCAUAACCCGACCGCAAGGUCAUUAUUUUAUGCUCUGACCUCAAAUCAGGUAGGACUACCCGCUGAACUUAAGCAUAUCAAUAAGCGGAGGAAAAGAAACUAACAAGGAUUCCCCUAGUAACGGCGAGCGAACAGGGAAGAGCUCAAAUUUGAAAUCUGGCGUCCUCCGGGCGUCCGAGUUGUAAUCUAUAGAGACGUUUUCCGUGCCGGACCGUGUCCAAGUUCCUUGGAACAGGAUAUCAAAGAGGGUGACAAUCCCGUACUUGACACGACGACCGGUGCUCUGUGAUACGUUUUCUACGAGUCGAGUUGUUUGGGAAUGCAGCUCAAAAUGGGUGGUGAGUUCCAUCUAAAGCUAAAUAUUGGCGAGAGACCGAUAGCGAACAAGUACCGUGAGGGAAAGAUGAAAAGCACUUUGGAAAGAGAGUUAAACAGUACGUGAAAUUGUUAAAAGGGAAACGAUUGAAGUCAGUCGUGUCUGGGAGGCUCAGCCGGUUCUGCCGGUGUAUUCCUCUCAGACGGGUCAACAUCAGUUUUGUCCGACGGAUAAUGGCGGCGGGAAAGUAGCACCUCCGGGUGUGUUAUAGCCCGCUGUCGCAUACGCCGGAUGAGACUGAGGCAUGCAGCUCGCCUUUAUGGCAGGGGUUCGCCCACUUUCGAACUUAGGAUGUUGACGUAAUGGCUUUAAACGACCCG
rnacentral:rRNA from 1 species